AGAGAAAUAUACGCGUUUUAGCUUUGUGGGGAACUCCUGGUGUCAACAUAUAACAAUAUAAUGCGCAGAUAAUGUGACCCUGAAAAGUAAAGCAAAAGAACAGCUUGAAUAGGAGUAUACAUCAAUGCGGAUGACACUAUCCUGGUUACUAUUGUUCGGGAGACAUGGGUCUACACUAAUUCUGUUAACUGAAUGUUCCGUAUCUAAUUAGCCUGAGAUUUUUACUUGACACACCUAAAAGAAGAGGGAUCAAGAGUGCUGUACAGACAUCAAUGAUUCUGGGGUUAAUUUUUUUUCUUCAAAACCACAUGCCCUGGUGAAACAGAAGCGUGGAUAUUAAGUUGGUAGAUUCUGCACCCGCAAGCCUCGACAAGAUGCGUUUCUGGACUAUGCAUCAAUUGGUACAGCCAAUACCAGAAAAUAGGCCCAUUAAUUUAUGUAUUACAAUGGCAUUUGCAUUACGCCAUAGGCUGAAAUAUCAUUCAGGCCUUCAUGAACCUACAUUACAGAGACACGCACCAAUGAAUGGGAAUUAUAUGAUGGCAACUACACCAUGACAUACGCUGAAAAAUGCCCGCCAUCAUUUAGGCUACAAACGACCGAGGAAUGCAUGUUGAGUACAAAGAGAGGACGAUUGUCCAAAAGAGAUAAAUAUAACUGGCACAUGCAAGAUUCUCCUGUUUGAAAAUUUUCACUAUAGCAUUGGGCAAUUUGUGGUCGUUGUGACGUCUAUUCUUAUUUUUCAUAGCUCUCAGUUUUACUCUGUUUGGUAAAUCGGAUUAAGUUAUGCUAUUCAAUAAUUGUCUUCUCACAUUUGAUCUAGUGUGUUUCAGAGUGCAAUAAUAUAAGAGCGUUUCUUACACUAGUGUAGUGUCAAAAACGCUCUUAUAUUAUGGGACGGAGGUAGUAUUUAUCAGUACAGUUACUAAGCUCCCAGGAAUUACUCGCCUCUGGUUAAUCGAGGCUUUGGUGGCGCUCGUGGCCCCACCUGAGUUAUUGAUCGGUUUAGUCCCUUCGCUGCCGUCGCAAGUCGCAACCGUCCUAUCGAAUCCUCUUCAAACAAUCCAUAUCCAUUCCUUCCCCUGGAGCCCGAUCCCCUUUCCUGCCGCCGCCGCCGCCUCGAGCCGUCGAGCGUCCACUAUCAGCAGCGAUGAGCGCCCCCGUUCCCUCCGUGCCUAAGCCCAGUCUUUCUCGAUGUCGCCUCGCAGCCCACCUCCCGGCCCUGCUCCUCUGUGUUGUUGUGUCGGUCGCUGUACCAUGCCCUUGCAGGUCGACGGCAUUGGCGUCCAUCAUGCAAGGCAGUAUGCUUGAAAGGGAGGAAAAAGAGAUCUCCACUCCACUCUGCCUCCCCCUCUCCCUCCGCCCCGCGCGGUUCCAAUCUGGUUCCCGGGCCAGGAAUCGAGGAUGGGGAAGAACCAGGCGUACAAGGCGAUGCAGUGGGCGCGGCUGGGUUCGUCCUCCGGCGCCUCUCGGCGAAGGGGAGGAAGACGGCAUGAGUGGCACGCGGUGCGCUUGGUCAGCCUCAACAAGACCCAUACCCUCACGUGGGAAGAGUUCAAGAAGGAGAAGGUAUGUGCGGCGGCCCUCGACUCGCUCUCUGCUGGCUUUCUUGGUGGAUUUAGUUUCUUCACUCUGUAAUUUUGUGUGUCCUAUCCACGGUUUUAUCCAUGCUGCUGCACUGCUGCUUAAGCUCUGCGAUGUGUUAUUUGUGCUCCUAUUUUAUACUAUUAAUGUAUGAUGGAUGCUGAAUUUCAAGCAUACUGCCUUGUAUGUGAUGUUUAAAAAAUGUGUAAAGAAAGAUAGAGAAUGCCAUUUAAUACGUGAUUGCUCAAUGUGUUGUGUCAUGUUUAGUAGGUUAUAAUCUAUCACAAGGUUGCCUUCAUGUUUCCAUUGCCAGUUUAUCUUCUGAAUACGGAAAGACAUGAAAAAGAAAAAGGAAAAAAAUAUUGUACACUGGCACAAUAAAGAGAUUUGUCUUGAUUUAUAUAUAUUUUUGGAUCUUAAUUUUCUUCAAGGGCUGCUGAGAAAUUCAGGCGUAAGCACAUGAGAAGAAUGGGGCUAAAGUAAUUAUUUAUUGUGGGCAUGCGUCUCCUUUUACAGGCUUUUACUUGCUUCAUGUUCCAUUGGUUUGGUUGGCUACAAUGUGUCAUGUCUGAUGAAUCAAGUGGCCCUCCAUGAUUUUGGAUAUUGGUUUUGAUCUGAUGAAUUUUUGAUAAUUUCAGUCUAGCGUUGCUCCUACGCUCCCAGCCAUGGAACCAUUAGAUGUAUGAAUUUUUUUAGGAAUAGAUUUAUAAAUUUAAUUUAUUAAUACUUGCUUGUGAAAUAGCUGAUGCAAUUUUACUCUGAAACUGAAUAUCUUUAACCUGACAUUUUGAUUGAUGUAGGUUAGAUGAUAGUAAGUUAGUGUUAAACUGUUAAUUUACUGACUCCCUUGCUGGAGGAAUUAGCGUCUGCUAUUUUAACUCAUGUAUGGAAGAGCACAUCUGCACUUCUAUCGUACUUAUAAGGGUCACAUUUACGAUAUUCACGAUUCCAGGUUUACCAUAACCUGAAAAUUUUACCAACUGGUUUGUCUGCAGAGUCAUUAGGACGGCAUGAUUGUAAAUGCAGGUCCUAUGCAUCAGAAAUUAGGGAUUAUAAGUUCACUUGCCAAGUUGAUAUCGGAGGAUUCGAUCAACAACCAAUUAGUUUGAGGUAUAGUUCUGUAGUUAAACGUCAGCCUAAAUUAGCAUCUGAGAUAAUUACAGCCAUAUCAACUAUAACCUGUUAGGCACGUCCAGUGACUGAAUUUUAUCUACGAAGGCAGGAGGUUCAUGUGGUGAGGAAGGUGUGUUGUUGUAAUCAUUGGACCCCUUGCCCACAGGGGAAACUGGUAUCUUUUGGCGGAUCUUUGCAUGUCCAAUCCUACCCUAAUGCAGCCCUAAAAAAAAAAUCCUACCCUAAUGCUGGUUCACUCUAUCGAAAUUGGUUGCCGCGCGUGCCACUGCAAUUGGUUGCCUCAGGUUUGCUCUGCCUCCACCACCUUCUCCUUUUCAGUAAUAGGCGAUGGAUGCUUUUGAAAGGAACUGAAACAUUACAAUUGCUUCUGCUUUUGUAUUUGGUUUUAUAUAUGUGCUCAUGUGCAAUACUGUUCUGAUCAUAUGUGCAAAUGAUUCCUUACUCAAUUCUGGUCUUCUCUGUAGAGCCUUUGGAUUCGUUGUGUGAUGACAAUUUCAGGCCAAAAAAUACAUUAUGGCUUCAUUCGUUGAGGAAGCGGAGAGGCUGCAGCUACAAGUGGAAGGACGGUGUGCGGGCUUCUCUGCAAAAAAGGCUAAUGCGAAGCGCAUUCUAUUUCCCCAGUCUGUUGUUCAACAAAGUUGAUUUCCUGCUUGAUGUGCUCUUGACUUUUUUGUUUUGUAUUGCUUCGUUGUUUCCGUCGCUGGUGUUUUUUUUAAUAUACUCAAAGCUUAGCUAAUCUGAAGAAUGAACCUGAAUCAAUUAUUGUGGAAGUAUCACCGGCAACCUUUUGCUCAAUCUUCUAAUGGAAAACUUCAGUUUGUCA